rnacentral:rRNA from 1 species
GCGAAAACUUUACAAUGCUGGCAACAGCGAUAAGGGGACCUCGAGUGCCAGGAUACAAUCUUGGCUGUCGCGAUGCCUAAAAAGCAUUGCAUAGCAAGGGCCGGGCAAGGCCGGUGCCAGCCGCCGCGGUAACACCGGCGGCUCGAGUGGUAACCGCUAUUAUUGGGUCUAAAGGGUCUGUAGCCGGCCGGAUAAGUCUCUUGGGAAAUCCAGCAGCUCAACUGUUGGGCUUUCAGGAGAUACUGUUCGGCUCGAGGCCGGGAGAGGUGAGAGGUACUUCAGGAGUAGGGGUGAAAUCUUGUAAUCCUUGAAGGACCACCAGUGGCGAAGGCGUCUCACCAGAACGGACCUGACGGCAAGGGACGAAAGCUAGGGGCACGAACCGGAUUAGAUACCCGGGUAGUCCUAGCCGUAAACGAUACUCGCUAGGUGUCAGCCACGGUGCGACCGUGGUUGGUGCCGUAGGGAAGCCGUGAAGCGAGCCACCUGGGAAGUACGGCCGCAAGGCUGAAACUUAAAGGAAUUGGCGGGGGAGCAC